rnacentral:lncRNA from 1 species
UGUGUGACCGGGCAGGGCUGGACGUGCUUCUGCCUGCCCUUGCGCUGGGCACCCGCCUCCGCCCCACAUCUGUGUCAAGCGUGCCUGCCUUUGUUCUCCCAGCUCGAGGUCAUAUAAUUGUACCUUCCUUGACACGUUUCUGCAUAGAGAAGAUGAGAUCUGGGGGCUGAAUCCCAAUCUGACAUACUUGCAGAUCUAUACAACCUGGCGUUUGGCCGUGGCUUCCAGGACAGGCUGGAUGCAGAGUGAAGUCCUCUCCUCACUGUCAAUGUUUGCAGAUGUCUUCUUGUAUAAACUUCGUAUUUCUUGAGACUUUCAAUUAGGUUUUUACUUAACUGGACUUUUAAAAUUGCCAUGCACAUAACUCUACCAGUUAGAAUCUUGAGCUAACAUGGGUUUUUGGUUUUUGGUUUUUGGUUUUACUUUGAUGAAUGUUUAACAUUUGCAUGCUGGAUGUGGGGGUGGAGGUCAUUUAUCUGCUUUUCAUUGCCUUCUUGGUUAUACUUAGUGACUUUCAGGUAAGGUGUGGAAGGCGUGGUACAGGGUGAAUUGCAGGCCGCACUGUGGCGCCGUGGAGGACAGGUGCGGGCUGCAGUGGUGUGCACAGUGGAUGAGAGACAAGAGAGACUUCCAUCCUUGAGGGA